rnacentral:rRNA from 1 species
GUGGGGAAUUUUGGACAAUGGGCGCAAGCCUGAUCCAGCAAUGUCGCGUGCAGGAAGAAGGCCUUCGGGUUGUAAACUGCUUUUGUACGGAACGAAACGGUCCGGGUUAAUACCCUGGGCUAAUGACGGUACCGUAAGAAUAAGCACCGGCUAACUACGUGCCAGCAGCCGCGGUAAUACGUAGGGUGCAAGCGUUAAUCGGAAUUACUGGGCGUAAAGCGUGCGCAGGCGGUUUUGUAAGACAGGCGGGAAAUCCCCGGGCUAAACCUGGGAAUUGCGGUUGUGACUGCAAGGCUGGAGUGCGGCAGAGGGGGAUGGAAUUCCGCGUGUAGCAGUGAAAUGCGUAGAUAUGCGGAGGAACACCGAUGGCGAAGGCAAUCCCCUGGGCCUGCACUGACGCUCAUGCACGAAAGCGUGGGGAGCAAACAGGAUUAGAUACCCCAGUAGUCC